UACACAUGCAAGUCCAGCGGUAACAGAUCCAGCUUGCUGGAUGCUGACGAGCGGCGGACGGGUGAGUAAUGCAUAGGAAACUGCCCAGUAGUGGGGGAUAGCCCGGGGAAACCCGGAUUAAUACCGCAUACGUCCUUCGGGAGAAAGCAGGGGCUCUUCGGACCUUGCGCUAUUGGAUGUGCCUAUGUCGGAUUAGCUUGUUGGUAGGGUAACGGCCUACCAAGGCAACGAUCCGUAGCUGGUCUGAGAGGAUGAUCAGCCACAUCGGGACUGAGACACGGCCCGAACUCCUACGGGAGGCAGCAGUGGGGAAUAUUGGACAAUGGGGGCAACCCUGAUCCAGCCAUGCCGCGUGUGUGAAGAAGGCUUUCGGGUUGUAAAGCACUUUCAGUAGGGAGGAAAAGCUUAAGGUUAAUACCCUUGAGCCUUGACGUCACCUACAGAAGAAGCACCGGCUAACUCCGUGCCAGCAGCCGCGGUAAUACGGAGGGUGCAAGCGUUAAUCGGAAUUACUGGGCGUAAAGCGCGCGUAGGCGGUUAGAUAAGCGAGAUG
rnacentral:rRNA from 1 species